UACGUAGGGGGCAAGCGUUGUCCGGAAUCAUUGGGCGUAAAGAGCGUGUAGGCGGCUUGGUAAGUCCGCUGUGAAAGUCCAGGGCUCAACCCCUGGAAUGCCGGUGGAAACUGUCAAGCUUGAGUCCGGAAGAGGCGAGUGGAAUUCCUGGUGUAGCGGUGAAAUGCGCAGAUAUCAGGAGGAACACCAAUGGCGAAGGCAGCUCGCUGGGACGGUACUGACGCUGAGACGCGAAAGCGUGGGGAGCAAACAGG
rnacentral:rRNA from 1 species